AGAUGGCCGUUUCGUGGUUGGAUCGAGUGUAUCUUGUUGGUUUACAGAUAUUGGUAUUUUUUAUUUCGGGUUAAUGUUGUACAGGUCUAAAUGCGACGUACUGCGCCUCGUACUCGACGUCAGGCGGCACAGACAACUACGUCUACAGGGACUGUCUCUACGGCUGCUGCGGCACGUCACGCGAUCUCUACUGCUGCUCCUUUUCUGUGGGAACCACAGUUGGCUACUCUAUCGGGGGAUUCCUCCUUUUGUUGGUCAUCUCUCUCUACUGCUGUAUUCGACGUCGACAACUCCUGGCCAAAUCUAGACCAGUCACCCACACGACCGGCCCUAAUAGCGUGCCCUGUGUCUACCAAACGAGUAGCAAUGGCAAUACUACGAACAAUGGACUACCACAACCGUACCUUCUACCAGGCAGUUUAGGCUAUGCAGACUCGGUGCCACUAUCUUAUAUAGGCUCAUACCCAACAGCCGCUGGAGGAUCGAUGCCACUAGAAUUUAUACCUCAACCUCCAGCCUUUGUAGGCCAACCUCCAGCCUAUUUAGGUCCACCUCCAGCUUAUUCUGAGGUCGUGUCCAAGACUGACACCAGCAGCCCGCCAGCCUACGACAACACUGGAUUUAACCACUGAAAUCCACCCGCACGCCUCGGGAAAACAGUAGUAGUGUAUGACAUUGCAGGGUUCCAGAUAGAGCCACAGGAAAGACUGUAUUUACUUAGUUAUUAAAAAUAUCAACAACAGUUAGUCAGGAUUACAUAACGUUUCUAAUUCAGAAGGCCCUGUUUACAAAGAAACACCCCCCACCCCCCACACACACACACACAAAC
rnacentral:misc_RNA from 1 species